UACGGAGGGGGCUAGCGUUGUUCGGUAUUACUGGGCUUAAAGAGUUCGUAGGCGGCUCUGUAGGUGAGAUGUGAAAGCCCUCGGCUUAACCGAGGAACUGCGUUUCAAACCACAGGGCUUGAGGGAGAUAGGGGUAAGCGGAACAGAUGGUGGAGCGGUGAAAUGCAUUGAUAUCAUCUGGAACACCGGUGGCGAAGGCGGCUUACUGGGUCUUUUCUGACGCUGAGGAACGAAAGCUAGGGUAGCGAACGGG
rnacentral:rRNA from 1 species